UUAUAAAUAAUUGUUAAUGUAGUUAAUAUGAAAAAGAUUUUUUUAAAUAUAGUAAAUUUAAUUGAAUAAUGAUAAAGACUUAGUGUAAAAUAUUGUAGAGGAAAUUUGAAAUAAUUAAAGAGUUAAUAAUAUAAAAGUAAUAUUAAAGUUAUGUAUCUUGUGUAUAAUAGAUAUUUAAAUUUAUAUAAUUCUAUUGUGUAUCUCGAAAAGGAAAUAGCUAAAUUAAAAGGUAAGUUUUUGUGGCAUAAAGAUUUAUAAUUUUAUUUUAGGAGUGAAAUAUUAAUCGGGUUCCUUAAUAUCUAGUUUUUUAAGAAGUGAAUUUAAAUUAGCAUUUUUAUAUACUUAUAAAAAUAGUUAGAAUAAAGGGGAUUAGCUCUUUAUUAUUUAGUAUUAUAAAAAAAAUAUUUUAAUAAUUUAACUAAGCUUAAAAUUAGCUAGGUUUAUAGAGUGUUAUAAGUAAAAUUUGAGUUAAUAAUAUUUAUAUAUUUUUUAAUUUUUUUAUUAAGAAUUAUUUGAAAAUAAUGUUGAAAUAGUUAUAGUGAGUGUAUUAGUAUAUAGAUAGUGUUAGAAAUUAAUUAUAAAUUAUUAAAUUAUUUAUAUGUAUUUUUAUGUUCUUUUAAGGAAUUCGGCAAAAAUUAUUUCUGCCUGUUUAGCAAAAACAUGUCUUUAUGAAGGUUUAUAAAGUCUAACCUGCCCAUUGGGAACUAAAAGGCCGCGGUAUUAUGACCGUGCAAAGGUAGCAUAAUCAUUAGUUUUUUAAUUGAAGGCUAGAAUGAAUGGUUGGACAAGAAAUAAUCUGUCUUAAGUGAAUAUAUUGAAUUUAACUUUUAAGUGAAAAGGCUUAAAUAUUCUGAAGGGACGAUAAGACCCUAUAAAACUUUAUAUUUAUAAAGUAGUAGUUAGUUUUAUUUAAAAGUAUUAUAUUAGAAUAUUUGGUUGGGGUGACAAGGAUAAAAUAUAGAAUAACUGUCUUUUUUUUUUACAGCAAUAUUUGGUUUAAUGAUCCUAAAAAGGAUUAAAAGAUUAAGUUACUUUAGGGAUAACAGCGUGAUUUUCUUUAAGAGUUCUUAUCGACAAGAAAGUUUGCGACCUCGAUGUUGAAUUAAAAGUUCUUUAUAGAGUAGAGACUAUAAUAGAAGGUCUGUUCGACCUUUAAAAUUUUACAUGAUUUGAGUUCAGACCGGUGUAAGCCAGGUUGGUUUCUAUCUUUCAGUAAUUAAUUGGGUUAUUUUAGUACGAAAGGAUUAAAUAAUUAAAAAAUUUUUGA
rnacentral:rRNA from 1 species